UCCGGGUUUCUCAAGGUGGACAGAAGGGAAGGACCUGACCGACCCCCUUGCCCUGGAGGCCAGAGGCUUUGCUGAAGUGGCAGCGUAGGCCCGUGAGUCCCUCUGUACUUCCGCAGGAAGGCAGACUUCCACGUUGAUGAUCCGGUAAUAGUAGUAACACAACUCACUGAGUGCCUCUAUGCUCCAGAAACUCCACUGGGGGCUCUCUCUGUGCCACGUUAAGGCUCACAAAAAACCAACAAGAGCUUCUUGGAAGGUCUCAUCUGAAACUGCACACACUCAGAAGGAGAUGAGGGGUGUGGUGGGCAUAACCCACCUGGAGAAACGCCAUCUGGUCCGAGGGAGGCUGGUGGCUAACAGGGCAGGUGCACCGGGCCACCCACAAAUCCCCCCCCUCUCCAAGAAUCGGCUUUGGAUCGCAGAGGAGGAAGACGUUGAUGGACAGUUCGAAACAUCCACGUCCAGACUGCUGCCUGCA